UACAGACAAUAAAUAUGAUGCCGUUCAUGAA
rnacentral:piRNA from 2 species